GUCCCGCGACCUUAUGACACCUUUAUCAGCCGUCACCCGAUUUUAUGAGUAUUUAACUGACCAACACCGCGUGCCAUACGCCGAGGUGCAAAGUCCAGCAAGUGCCACAUGGCCGACGACGACCCUCCGCAAAAGAUCCGUCAAGUCUUCUUCCCGUCGUCAAAGUGACAACGUCGAGGAUGUACACCACCGGCUUCGGACGUGGCGCAUGACCGGACUCGACGAACCGAUCCGCACUCGACUUCAACGCUGCUAACUUUUAGACGGCCGAGGAUAAUGCCGGACACCGAGUCGCCAACACUAGUAAAAGUGCCACAAUAUUAUGCGAAGUAUAUUAUUAACUGCGUUCGUCUUUUCGGGUUGUUUUUUUUUCAAUAAUCUGUAGUUACUUAUUUAUAAACGGCCCACGAGUCUCUACUACCCUCAACACGAUUAUGUUUUGCUUGUGGAAAUAAAAUACCCAAAAAUAAAGUUAUAUAUGAAAGAUUAUGCUGUCAAAAGAAAUUCUGUUCUGAAUGUUAUCAACGGAAUAUAGAAAACAGACUUUGCACAGGAUGUAACAAAACAGGUUAUGCAUAUCAAUUAAUCUCUAAAAAUAAAUUCAAAAAUCCUAGAAAGAAUAAUGAAUAAUAUAAAUAAAAAAUUUAAUUUUUCAACAUUUUUAGAAGUCAAAAAUUAGUUAAAUAAAAUGUAAAAUAAUCUUUUAAUUUUAUUAUUAAACUUUUUGCAAAUAAUAAUAGCUUUGUUAAAAAAUGUAUAUUAAAAGCAUAUUAUUUCAAUAAGUCCUAUC